rnacentral:rRNA from 1 species
CUGCUGUGAAAACCCGAGGCUCAACCUCGGGCCUGCAGUGGGUACGGGCAGACUAGAGUGCGGUAGGGGAGAUUGGAAUUCCUGGUGUAGCGGUGGAAUGCGCAGAUAUCAGGAGGAACACCGAUGGCGAAGGCAGAUCUYUGGGCCGUAACUGACGCUGAGGAGCGAAAGGGUGGGGAGCAAACAGGCUUAGAUACCCUGGUAGUCCACCCCGUAAACGUUGGGAACUAGUUGUGGGGUCCUUUCCACGGAUUCCGUGACGCAGCUAACGCAUUAAGUUCCCCGCCUGGGGAGUACGGCCGCAAGGCUAAAACUCAAAGGAAUUGACGGGGACCCGCACAAGCGGCGGAGCAUGCGGAUUAAUUCGAUGCAACGCGAAGAACCUUACCAAGGCUUGACAUACACGAGAACGCUGCAG